GCGGCUAUCGUAUAGUGGUCAUUAUAAAAGCUUCCCAAGCUUUGGAGGUGGGUUCGAUUCCCACUAGCCGCUCCA
rnacentral:tRNA from 1 species